UGGAUCGAUGAUGAUGACUUUGCAUAUGAGUCCUGGAUCGUGACUACAGGUCUGGAAGUCUGAGGUCCAC
ensembl:snoRNA